rnacentral:rRNA from 1 species
UAACGCGUAGUCCAAACCUUCCCCGUUAGUAGGGCAUAGCCCGUAGAAAUGCGGAUUAAUACCCUAUGUUUUCCGAUGAGGACAUCUGAGCUGGAACAAAGGUUUACCGCUAAGGGAUGGGGAUGCGUCUGAUUAGGCAGCAGGCGGGUAACGGCCCACCUGGCCGACGAUCAGUAGGGGUUCUGAGAGGAAGGUCCCCCACAUUGGAACUGAGACACGGUCCAAACUCCUACGGGAGGCAGCAGUGAGGAAUAUUGGUCAAUGGGCGAGAGCCUGAACCAGCCAAGUAGCGUGCAAGGAUGACGGCCCUAUGGGUUGUAAACUGCCUUUAUGCGGGGAUAAAGUCACCCACGUGUGGGUGUUUGUAGGUACCGCAUGAAUAAGGACCGGCUAAUUCCGUGCCAGCAGCAGC